CGGGCUGUGGCGCAGCUUGGUUAGCGCGUUGGUCUGGGGGACCAAAGGUCCCGGGUUCGAGUCCCGGCAGCCCGACAA
rnacentral:tRNA from 1 species